UACGUAGGGACCGAGCGUUGUCCGGAAUUACUGGGUGUAAAGCGCGUGUAGGCGGCAGACCAAGUCGGCGGUGAAAGCGCCCGGCUCAACUGGGCGAGGUCCGUGGAAACUGGUCAGCUGGAGGACGGUAGAGGCGAGUGGAAUUCCCGGUGUAGUGGUGAAAUGCGUAGAUAUCGAGAGGAACACCUGCGGCGAAGGCGGGUUGCUGGGCCGACACUGACGCUGAUGCGCGAAAGCCAGGGGAGCGAACGGG
rnacentral:rRNA from 1 species